AUGAUCAUAAUUUCACUGAAACUUCUUUUGACAAUGUGUUUUGGCUCCUUAGCUACAGGUCCCAAUAAUUUAACAGUCAUCCAAACACCAACAAAAAUACAUCUGUCAAUUGGAGACUCCACUGAAAUUGCCUGUAUUUGGGAAAAAUCAAUUACAAGAUAUAGAAUAAGCUGGUAUCUUGUUACUAAGGAGAAUGUAACAAAAACUAUAUCAUCAAGCCUUCUCUAUUUACCCAACGUCACCCAUGACAACAAGGAUGUGCUAGUGCUAAAAACUGUCAAUGUAAAUGACACUGGAUUUUACUACUGUGAGAUAAUUAUUGAAAUACCUUUCUGUAAAAAACUCUGUGGAAGUGGAACAACAUUGAUCGUUGAAGAGAAAGCAGCUCAGUCAUCGGAGAAGAAAGUUUUGGCAGUUUGGGCCAUCAUUCCUUUCUUAGUGGCAGUGGGAAGCUUGUAUUGCUGCUACAAAAAGAAACGGAACUCAAAUCUUUCUGGUUCUGCCCCACUUCCUGUGCCAGAAGGAGGGCGUCAGGAGGAGCAGACCUUUGAGGUAGCAGAACUUUGUGGGAGAAAUGAAUCUACCAGUGAAGAAGCUGAAUGGGCUGUGUCUACACUUUAUGAAUCACUUGAUUCAUUUUACAAUGAAUCAAAAUAA
rnacentral:lncRNA from 1 species